rnacentral:rRNA from 1 species
GACGAACGCUGGCGGCGUGCCUAAUACAUGCAAGUCGAGCGAACCUCUUCGGAGGUUAGCGGCGGACGGGUGAGUAACACGUGGGCAACCUGCCUGUAAGACUGGGAUAACUUCGGGAAACCGGAGCUAAUACCGGAUAACUUCAGUCGCCACCUGGUGACUGGAUAAAAGAUGGUUUCGGCUAUCACUUACAGAUGGGCCCGCGGCGCAUUAGCUAGUUGGUGAGGUAACGGCUCACCAAGGCGACGAUGCGUAGCCGACCUGAGAGGGUGAUCGGCCACACUGGGACUGAGACACGGCCCAGACUCCUACGGGAGGCAGCAGUAGGGAAUCUUCCGCAAUGGACGAAAGUCUGACGGAGCAACGCCGCGUGAGCGAUGAAGGCCUUCGGGUCGUAAAGCUCUGUUGUUAGGGAAGAACAAGUACCAGAGUAACUGCUGGUACCUUGACGGUACCUAACCAGAAAGCCACGGCUAACUACG